rnacentral:rRNA from 1 species
GACGAACGCUGGCGGCGUGCUUAACACAUGCAAGUCGAACAGUGGCGAACGGGUGAGUAACACGUGAGUAACCUGCCCUCCACUUUGGGAUAACUCCGAGAAAUCGGGGCUAAUACUGGAACGUGGGGGAUGGGGUCGCGGCCUAUCAGUUUGUUGGUGAGGUAGUGGUCACGAAGGCGUGACGGGUAGCCGGCCUGAGAGGGCGACCGGCCACAUUGGGAAUGAGACAGGGCCAAGACGCCUACGGGAGGCAGCAGUGGGGAAUAUUGCACAAUGGGCGAAAGCCUGAAGCAGCGACGUCGGGUGGGGGAGGACGGUCUUCGGGUUGUAAACCUCUUUCAGCAAGGAAGCGGUACUUGCAGAAGAAGCGCCGGCUAACUACGUGCCAGCAGCCGCGGUAAUAC